AAGGAGAGGUAGACGCGAGCCGACAACUCCUUCCUCCUCCGUCGAACAACUCAAGGAGCACACUGUAACCUCUUUGGUGCAUUAUUCAUUCCGGCAGGACUAGGGGUGUUAUCUUUACGGAGAGCCCUGAACCUGGGUACAUCGUGUGUCCCUCUCUUGUGCCAACCCCGUUCCCAGAGUCCGCCGUUGUCCUCUCGGUUCCCACCACUCAUGUUUAGCCUACCCAUGGCUGAUGUCGUGAGUAAACACCGACACCUGCACCCCCGAGCGUAGUGGCGGCGGCCCUCCCCUCCCACCGAGCGCGGCAACGGUGGCGGCAUCUGGAUCCAGCCCGACUGUAGCGGUUGGAUCCAGCAGCCCGACUGCAGCGGGAUCGGUGGUGCAGCACUCCUCUUCCUGGUCUCCGCGGGAAGGAGUCACUGGCCUUCGAUUGAGAUUUGGACGAUGGGUUCACAUGGUCCAGCCCUGGACGAUGUCGAGUCCUAUUUAGACAACAUGGACAUUUAGACGUCUCUUUAGACGAGCUGUUGGACGGUAGUUUUGGUGCCAUAUCGUCUAAAACCGGUAUACACAUCCAUUUGGACGUGCUGUUGGAGAUGCUCUUAGAUACCGACUGACUUAACACUUGUAUUUACAUUGAUUGCUAGAAGAUAGGCUUCUAAACAAUGCUUUUUUUCAGUUGGCACAUUUGAAUUAGCUGGCCUCUGAAUACAAGUGCUAAUUGGAUAUCUAUAUGGAACUUUAAUCAUGCAUGGUAGAUAUGUGAAUUAUUUGUAUGUCUAAAUAUAUAGAAACUUGCUGAAUGUAGCAUGAGCUCUAUACGAAGUGCAUUACAUUCUCAAGGUGUGACUUUUCAAAUGCCUAUCUGAACCUGCUAUGCACUUCGCUUUCCAGUGAACCAUCGCUUUAAGCCUAAAACUUGAAGUGUUCAUACUUUCAUCAGCGUAUUUUUAGAAGAGAUUUGAGGUGGUGUCCUACAUUUAGUAACUUGAAGACAUUGUUGCUGAAUGACUGGUGUGUGGCUGUUGACUUCCGUGCACUAUUUUUCAUUCUCGAGCAUUCACCUGUUCUUGAGAAGCUCACUCUUCGACUAUCCAAGAGACAUGAAUUUAUAACUGUGCGGGCGGGAAACUGCUAUCCACUGGAAAAAUUACCUGCAAUAUCGGAACACCUUAAUACUGUGGAAAUCAGAUGUAGAGAUAUUGAUGGGACGGUUUGCAGGCUUUCAAAAUUCUUAAGUCCAUUUGUCAGCGUCAUGCAGAUUAACAUCAAACUGGAUGCACAACUGUCAACAUGCUUCAGUUUCGAGACAUUUCUCUCGCCCUUCCCGGUAGAUGAUGAUGAUUAUUGAUGAAUGCAAGGCUAAAGUCUAGUCUUUUGUCUCUUCAAUGUUGCACUGUUUCAAUCUCUGAAGAGGCCUGAUCUUAGAAACAGCGUGGAAAAUGAGCUGUACAACUUGUUUGAGCUAUCUCAGUUAGUUGGACCUGGUUUAUCAUAGUGAUGUGUCUUGUGUUCUUUUGUCUAGGUUAUGUUCUAUUGUAGUUCCUUGGCCCAAGAACUGGUUAUAUCACUGUAAUGUGUCAGAUGUUUGCAUCUCAUCUCGCUAUGUUUAAUAGAUUUAUCAUGUACGAUGUCCCUCAAGACUAAUUUAUUAUCGUGUGCCAGUCUCGUUA